rnacentral:misc_RNA from 1 species
AAGUCGUAACAAGGUUUCCGUAGGUGAACCUGCGGAAGGAUCAUUAUGAUAUGAUGAAUAUGAUGAGUGUGAAGCGGUGGUGCGUGGGGUGCUGCUUAGGAGGCGGCGUUCUGGGCACCACGGCAAAAGCAGCAAGGUGUGAUGUGUGAAUGUGUAAAGCCAACAUAACUUUUAACAAUGGAUCUCUUGGCUCUC